GCGCAAAGUCACUUUGAGCGACGAAUUAUUUUUCGUCGCGCAAAAUUGGUCGCGCAAGACUUUGAGCGACGAUGUAUUGUCGUCGCGCAAAGUGAUUUUGCAC
rfam:Prunus persica cultivar Lovell chromosome G8, whole genome shotgun sequence.